GGCCCUAUGGUCUAGUGGUAAGAUACCCGCUUUGGGAGGCCUCAUGCCAAGCUUGCGGGUGACCCUGGGUUCGAACCCCAGUGGGGCCC